rnacentral:rRNA from 1 species
CCUACGGGAGGCAGCAGUGAGGAAUAUUCGUCAAUGAGCGAGAGUCUGAACCAGCCAAGUAGCGUGCAGGAUGACUGCCCUAUGGUUUGUAAACUUCUUUUAUAUGGGAAUAAAAUGUUCCACGUGUGGGAUUUUGUAUGUACCAUAUGAAUAAGUAACAGCUAACUCCGUGCCAGCAUCCGCGGUAAUACGGAGGAUCCGAUCGUUAUCCUGAUUUAUUUGGUUUAAAGGGAGCGUAGGUGGAUUGUUAAGUCAGUUGUGAAAGUUUGCGGCUCAAACGUAAAAUUGCAGUUGAAACUGGCAGUCUUGAGUACAGUAGAGGUGGGCGGAAUUCGUGGUGUAGCGGUGAAAUGCUUAGAUAUCACGAAGAACUCCGAUUGCGAAGGCAGUUCACUGGACUGCAACUGACACUGAGGAUCGAAAGUGUGGGUAUCAAACAGGAUUAGAUACCCCAGUAGUC